CACAAACACAAUGCUGUCCACGUCUGGAUGUGCCACAGAGGAGAUGAGCUGAGUGCCCAGUGAACUUUAUUGCUGCAGAGAACCUGACAGAACUCAUCCCACCUUGCAGCUGACACUUUCCUGUGGCGGGGACAGGACAAGGGCCCAGAUCUUCAGACAGGAGGUCUGGAGGUUCUGAACACUGCAAUGUUUUGAAAUCAAUUUGCCAGCUGUGCCAAGGCAGAUCAACGUUCAGCAAGUGAUUUACAGGUGUGCCAGCCACUGUCAGCCAAAGCACAGUGCUCUGGGAUUCAAACAGCACUGAAGAGUCCACCUGCAGGGUGCCACAGCCUCUGCAGCUGCCUCAGGUUGUGCUGCUGCUGUUGUGUGUCUGAGUCCCAGCGCUGGAAAUGAAAAGGUUCAGAGAAUCCUGACACCAAGGAGAGGCACAAAGCUGCACUCUGCUCCUGACAGCUUCUCUUUACACCACAGCUUUUCCUCUGAGCAUGUUCCAGUGUCUCUGCACUCCCAGUCCACCUGCAGCAGCCAGGGCCAGGCUCUCAUAGCCUGGCUCUCCUGCUGGGAGCCUCUCAGAGCACGAGCCACCUCCCUUCCAGCAGAUCGCAGGUGUUCUCCACAUGGCGUG